AGAUAUAGGUAGAAGUAGAAGCUACAUAUUUAGUCGCAUCAGGACUAUCCUUAUAAUCAGGCACUAUAUC
rnacentral:tRNA from 1 species